rnacentral:rRNA from 1 species
GACGAACCGUGCUAACGUUGUUCGGAAUCACUGGGCUUAAAGGGCGCGUAGGUGGCGACGUAAGUCGGGUGUGAAAGCCCCGGGCUCAACCUGGGAAUUGCAUUCGAGACUGCAUUGCUGGAGUACGGAAGAGGAGGGCGGAAUUCCCGGUGUAGCGGUGAAAUGCGUAGAUAUCGGGAGGAACAUCAGUGGCGAAGGCGGCCCUCUGGUCCAGUACUGACACUCAAGUGCGAAAGCGUGGGGAGCAAACAGG